rnacentral:rRNA from 1 species
UACGUAGGGUGCAAGCGUUAAUCGGAAUUACUGGGCGUAAAGGGCGCGUAGGCGGCCAUCUAAGUCAGACGUGAAAUCCCCCGGCUUAACCUGGGAACUGCGUCUGAUACUGGACGGCUUGAGUAGUGGGAGAGGUGAGUGGAACUGCGAAGUGUAGAGGUGAAAUUCGUAGAUAUUCGCAAGAACACCAGUGGCGAAGGCAGCUCUCUGGGACAGUACUGACGCUGAGACGCGAAAAGCGUGGGGAGCCGAACAGG